rnacentral:rRNA from 2 species
GGACUACCAGGGUUUCUAAUCCCGUUUGCUCCCCUAGCUUUCGCACCUCAGCGUCAGUUGUGGACCAGAGAGCCGCCUUCGCCACCGGUGUUCCUCCUGAUAUCUACGCAUUUCACCGCUCCACCAGGAGUUCCGCUCUCCCCUACCACACUCGAGCAUCGCAGUAUGCCUGGCAGUUCCACGGGUGAGCCGUGGGAUUUCACCAGACACUUACGACACCGCCUACGUGCGCUUUAAGCCCAGUAAUUCCGAACAACGUUUGCACUCUCUGUAUUACCGCGGCUGCUGGCAC